CCUACGGGUGGCAGCAGUGGGGAAUAUUGCGCAAUGGGCGAAAGCCUGACGCAGCGACGCCGCGUGAGGGAUGAAGGUCUUCGGAUCGUAAACCUCUGUCAGCAGGGAAGAACGGGCACUGUGCUAAUCAGCAGUGAAUUGACGGUACCUGCAAAGGAAGCACCGGCUAACUCCGUGCCAGCAGCCGCGGUAAUACGGAGGGUGCGAGCGUUAAUCGGAAUUACUGGGCGUAAAGCGCUCGAAGGCGGUAUGGCAAGUCAGGGGUGAAAUCCCCGCGCUCAACGUGGGAACUGCAUUUGAAACUGGCAAACUAGAGUGUGGGAGAGGAUGGUAGAAUUCCAGGUGUAGGGGUGAAAUGCGUAGAUAGCUGGAGGAAUAUCAGUGGCGAAGGCGACUAUCUGGCACAUAACUGACGCUGAGGAGCGAAAGCGUGGGUAGCAAACAGGAUUAGAUACCCUUGUAGUC
rnacentral:rRNA from 1 species